rnacentral:lncRNA from 1 species
ACCCUAGUUAAUUAAUUUAUAUAUGUUAAUAUUUUUUGUUUUUUAUUUUUCUCUCCCUCACUGCAUUUUUUCUCUGCCUCUCUCCCUUUUAAUUUGAGCUCUACAGGGUGGGGCCGGGGAGCGCGCGUGCCGGAGACGGCCACCGCGCGGCGUGUGAGCCGGCCGAGGGCGCGCGCGCCUGGCGAUGGUGGGCCGGCCGGGCUCCGGGGCGGCGCUGGGAGAUCGAGGGGAUGAAGCGGACGUACGGCGGCGGUACCGCUCGACGCGGCGUUGCUCGGCGGCGAGGACGACGACGAGGACGACAACAGCGAGGAUGAGAUGGCGCAGCAGCGAGGACGAGACGACGGCACAGCGGCAGUUACCUAGGAGGAAGAGGAAGAGGCGAUCUCGCGCAGGUGAAAAAAGGAGAGGAAGAGGGGGCCUCCAAUAUGGUAGCACCUAAAAUAUUGACUUCGUUUCCACAUUGGGCACGUCCCGAAGCGUGUUUCGGAAUAGGUUCACUGCCUUGUCCCUUUCCAAACACUACUUUCAAAUCCUUGACCAUCUUGAAUAUAUACCUCUGCCCCAUCUCGGUUGCCGGGCUUGGACCGGUGUUCUGUCGUACCUUUAAAAUAUUUGCCUUUCUUUCUCAACUGGUGGUUCUUUGCAAG